AUGAACGCUGGCGGCGUGUUUUAGGCAUGCAAGUCGAACGAUUUUCGCGUAGCAAUACGUGUUGAGAGUGGCAAACGGGUGCGUAACACCCUGGUAACCUGCCCCGAAGUUCAGGACAACCCACCGAAAGGCGGGCUAAUACUGGAUGUGAUCUACGGACGAAAGUCCGUGGCGGAAAGCCCGCAAGGGCGCUUCGGGAGGGGCCUAGGUUCCAUCAGCUUGUUGGUAGGGUAACGGCCUACCAAGGCUUCGACGGAUAGGGGGCGUGAGGGCGCGACCCCCCUCACUGGGAAUGAGACACUGCCCAGACUCCUACGGGAGGCUGCAGUCGAGAAUCUUCCCCAAUGGACGAAAGUCUGAGGGAGCGACGCCGCGUGCAGGAUGAAGCCCUUCGGGGUGUAAAGCUCUUUAGCCGAUGAUUAUAAUGACUGUAGUCGGAAAAUAAGCCCCGGCUAACUUCGU
rnacentral:rRNA from 1 species